rnacentral:rRNA from 1 species
CAGUUCGGACUGCAGUCUGCAACUCGACUGCACGAAGCUGGAAUCGCUAGUAAUCGCGGAUCAGCACGCCGCGGUGAAUACGUUCCCGGGCCUUGUACACACCGCCCGUCACACCAUGGAAGUCUGCAAUGCCCGAAGCCGGUGGCCUAACCACUUAUGUGGAAGGAGCCGUCUAAGGCAGGGCAGAUGACUGGGGUGAAGUCGUAACAAGGUAUC